UGAGUUGGCCGGGCGGCCGCGGCGCACCCGCGAGGGGACGUCGAGGAAAGUCCGGACUCCACCGAGCACGGUGGUGGCCAACAGCCACCCACGGCGACGUGCGGGACAGUGCCACAGAGAACAGACCGCCAGCGGCCCCCUCUCCUCGGAGCGGGGGUGCGGGUAAGGGUGAAACGGUGAGGUAAGAGCUCACCAGCGCCCCGGGUGACCGGGACGGCUCGGUAAACCCCACCGGGAGCAAGACCAAGAGGGCAUCGCGGCUCCGGCGGCGGUGCCCGCGCUGACGGGCGGCUCGUCCGAUGUCAGCGGGUAGGUCGCACGAGGCGUCCAGCAAUGGGCGUCCCAGAUGGAUGGUCGCCCGGCCCGUCGCUCCGGCGGCGGGCCGACAGAAUCCGGCUUACAGGCCAGCUCAUUCG
rfam:Aeromicrobium marinum DSM 15272 chromosome, whole genome shotgun sequence.